GCCGGGAUCGCCUAGUCCGGUAGGGCGGCAGGUUGCUAACCUGUUGCGGGUAACCGUUCCUGAGUUCAAAUCUCAGUCCCGGCG
rnacentral:tRNA from 1 species